CCUAAUACAUGCAAGUCGAACGCUAUUGUGGUUGAAAUGAUACGAAGAACUUGUUCAGAUUUGAUUUUCAACAUUGCAAUGAGUGGCGAACGGGUGAGUAACACGUGGGAAACCUACCUCUUAGCAGGGGAUAACAUUUGGAACAAAUGCUAAUACCGUAUAAUAAUUAAAACCGCAUGGUUUUAGUUUAAAAGAUGGUCUUGCUAUCACUAAGAGAUGGUCCCGCGGUGUAUUAGUUAGUUGGUGAGGUAAUGGCUCACCAAGACAAUGAUACAUAGCCGAGUUGAGAGACUGACCGGCCACAAUGGGACUGAGACACGGCCCAUACUCCUACGGGAGGCAGCAGUAGGGAAUCUUCCACAAUGGACGAAAGUCUGAUGGAGCAACGCCGCGUGUGUGAUGAAGGGUUUCGGCUCGUAAAACACUGUUGUAAGAGAAGAAUGACAUUGAGAGUAACUGUUCAAUGUGUGACGGUAUCUUACCAGAAAGGAACGGCUAAAUACGUG
rnacentral:rRNA from 1 species